ACAAUCUCCGUAUUACACCGCCCAGAAAUAUGAAAAUCAUAACUACCUUCAGUUCAAAGCCAGCAGUGGAGAUGCAGGCAGCUACUCCUGUGCAGUAAGAGGCCAUGAGAAUCUCCCGUCCCCAGCAGUGACUCUCUUGCCAUCCUGGAGCACAGCACAGCACUACUGCUUGGCUCAGAACACUCAUGGAGCUCAGACCUCUACUUCUGUGUCACACAAUAUAAAAGGAAGAAGAACACCAACAGAGAGAGAGGGAGGAGCAGACGCUCUCAUACUAUAGGUAAAAAGUUCCCACCUGGAUAUUCUUCUGUGUACAUGCUGUAUUUUUAUGAAACUACAAAGUCAGUAGGUCUGUGCUGAGCAGAAGACACAAAGCACAGAUACACACCAGGCAAGUUACAGUUCAUCCAGUUCAUCACUGUGUGAUGCAGUCAUUUUCAGUCUUCCUCCUUAUUUUUAUUGGUUAAAACUAUUGAGGAAUAUUCCCCACUUAAAUCUCAAUAUGUUGUAAUUGUAUCUGUGGAUAUUAUUUAGUAUGAUUUUUUAACAUGUGAAAAAUAUGCUUCUGUAAUGUAAAUUCUUCAAGUGAUUCUGAGAUAUAUAAUCCACCAAGUCAGCAGAGGAAUCCGUUCUCGGGGACAACAGAGUGGAUAGGGAAUGCAAGGGGCUGUGUGGCCACUCUGGUUCCCUUUUAACAGUGCAACUGGAGGCGCACAUAUGUGUGACUGAGUCUCUUCCUGUUUCUCACCUCAGAGCAGAGCCUUCAGAGAGUGACAAACGCAGCCAGCGACACAAACUCUGUGCUU